CGAACGCUGGCGGCGUGCUUACACAUGCAAGUCGAACGAUGAUGCCCAGCUUGCUGGGUGGAUUAGUGGCGAACGGGUGAGUAACACGUGAGUAACCUGCCCCUGACUCUGGGAUAAGCGUUGGAAACGACGUCUAAUACUGGAUAUGAUCACUGGCCGCAUGGUCUGGUGGUGGAAAGAUUUUUUGGUUGGGGAUGGACUCGCGGCCUAUCAGCUUGUUGGUGAGGUAAUGGCUCACCAAGGCGACGACGGGUAGCCGGCCUGAGAGGGUGACCGGCCACACUGGGACUGAGACACGGCCCAGACUCCUACGGGAGGCAGCAGUGGGGAAUAUUGCACAAUGGGCGAAAGCCUGAUGCAGCAACGCCGCGUGAGGGAUGACGGCCUUCGGGUUGUAAACCUCUUUUAGUAGGGAAGAAGCGAAAGUGACGGUACCUGCAGAAAAAGCACCGGCUAACUACGUGCCAGCAGCCGCGGUAAUACGUAGGGUGCAAGCGUUGUCCGGAAUUAUUGGGCGUAAAGAGCUCGUAGGCGGUUUGUCGCGUCUGCUGUGAAAUCCCGAGGCUCAACCUCGGGCUUGCAGUGGGUACGGGCAGACUAGAGUGCGGUAGGGGAGAUUGGAAUUCCUGGUGUAGCGGUGGAAUGCGCAGAUAUCAGGAGGAACACCGAUGGCGAAGGCAGAUCUCUGGGCCGUAACUGACGCUGAGGAGCGAAAGCAUGGGGAGCGAACAGGAUUAGAUACCCUGGUAGUCCAUGCCGUAAACGUUGGGCGCUAGAUGUAGGGACCUUUCCACGGUUUCUGUGUCGUAGCUAACGCAUUAAGCGCCCCGCCUGGGGAGUACGGCCGCAAGGCUAAAACUCAAAGGAAUUGACGGGGGCCCGCACAAGCGGCGGAGCAUGCGGAUUAAUUCGAUGCAACGCGAAGAACCUUACCAAGGCUUGACAUACACCGGAAACGGCCAGAGAUGGUCGCCCCCUUGUGGUCGGUGUACAGGUGGUGCAUGGUUGUCGUCAGCUCGUGUCGUGAGAUGUUGGGUUAAGUCCCGCAACGAGCGCAACCCUCGUUCUAUGUUGCCAGCGGGUUAUGCCGGGGACUCAUAGGAGACUGCCGGGGUCAACUCGGAGGAAGGUGGGGAUGACGUCAAAUCAUCAUGCCCCUUAUGUCUUGGGCUUCACGCAUGCUACAAUGGCCGGUACAAAGGGCUGCGAUACCGUAAGGUGGAGCGAAUCCCAAAAAGCCGGUCUCAGUUCGGAUUGAGGUCUGCAACUCGACCUCAUGAAGUCGGAGUCGCUAGUAAUCGCAGAUCAGCAACGCUGCGGUGAAUACGUUCCCGGGCCUUGUACACACCGCCCGUCAAGUCAUGAAAGUCGGUAACACCCGAAGCCGGUGGCCUAACCCUUGUGGAAGCAGCCGUCGAAGGUGG
rnacentral:rRNA from 1 species